UCCUGGCUGUCUAGUGGUUAAGACUCUGUGCUUCCGCUGCAGGAAGCGAGGGUUCAAUCCCUCGUCGGGCA
rnacentral:tRNA from 1 species